GACGAACGCUGGCGGCGUGCCUAACACAUGCAAGUCGAACGAGGUCCAUGCAGUGGCAACACUGCGGAAGACCUAGUGGCGAACGGGUGAGUAACACGUGAGGAACCUGCCCCGAAGACCGGGAUAACUCUCCGAAAGGAGCGCUAAUACCGGAUGCCCCCACCGAACCGCAUGGUUUGGUGAGGAAAUGGAUUCCGCUUCGGGAGGGCCUCGCGGCCUAUCAGCUAGUUGGUGGGGUAACGGCCCACCAAGGCAUCGACGGGUAGCUGGUCUGAGAGGACGAUCAGCCACACUGGGACUGAGACACGGCCCAGACUCCUACGGGAGGCAGCAGUGGGGAAUCUUGCGCAAUGGGCGAAAGCCUGACGCAGCAACGCCGCGUGGGGGAUGAAGGCUUCGGGUUGUAACCCUUUCAGCAGGGACGAAUCAAGACGGUACCUGCAGAAGAAGCCCGGCUAACUACGUGCCAGCGCCGCGG
rnacentral:rRNA from 1 species